UAACCUACCGAGUUCCUGAUGGGCGGGACUAAAGAGAACGGGAGACCAACAACGAAGGAACCACAAAAUACGCCGUUUUUUUAGCGUUAAUUCGGUAAAAUGCGUUAACUAUCAAGUUAUUUUAUUACACGUUAAAAGCCAGACGUUUUGUGUCGUGUUGUAGUCGUGUAAAAACGGGAAAGUAAGCUGUUUUCUGCCGGUAAUUUCGCUUAAUUGGCGAACGGACGGUUGCUAGUUGGCAGUUGGCAGUUAACAGUUGGCAGUUAGUUAGCUGUCACUGUCACUGUCUUGGACGAGAGGAGACGUUAAGUUCGGUUACUGUCUUUAAACUGGAUUCAUGUGGACGUUUCUAUGGUUAUAAAGAAACUAUGUUUUAUUAGUAGUUGAGGGUUUUCUGGAUAUUGUGCUUGUUGGGACGCUGCAGCAGUAGAGGUCAGGACUGGACAUCAACGGCCCGCUGCACGUGAACCUGGACGGAGCGUCCAUCGCACGAGCCACAGCCGUUAGGACUCGUUUCCAUGGAAACCAUGUGGACGCAGCGCACCGCUGGAUGGAAGGAGGGAUAUAAAGGCUGAACAGCUGGAUGGAGAGAUCCCAGACAGACCGAGCAGCAGCUCCGACUGGGAUGAAUGAAUCCCUGAAACGGAGGGUCAGAGGAAAUAUACGGAGCGGAGCUGCUGGAGUUCCCGACACUCUGCUGCCUCUGACCGGACUGCUGCUGCUGCACCUCCACACCUCCACACCUCCACACCGAGGGGCGACAGCGACCUCUAGUGCGUUGGUGAUUGUCUGUCUGUGGCAAAAGAAGCUCACUGCCGACACGAAUAAGCUCUGACCGUUAUGUCAAACCUGGUGAACUUUUUGCAACUCCAUUAUCAAGAUAGACAAGAUGUUCAUUUUUAUUCCUCUUUGAUACCCAUUUCUCCAUGAUUGACACGGGUGGGUUACUGGGGUAAAGUUCACUCUUUGGUCCCAAAAGGAUGUAGAGGGAAGCAACCUCAACUGUACAUUGAGUGGAAGGGGGCUUCCUGCAGUCUUUAGUAUUUGGCUUUUACAGUAUCAUGCAACUUGCAACCUCACCACUAGAUGGCGCCAUAUCCUACGCACUGCACCUUUUAAAAGAUGUUUUAUGUUGAUCCUAUUUAGUUAUUGUUAAUUACUCCUGUGUUUGGUUUUCUUUUACUUAAAAGCGUUUCUCUCUGAC